GUGCUCGCUUUGGCAGCACCAUAUAUACUAAAAUUGUAAGGAUACAGAGAAAAUUAGCAUGGCCCUAUGUAAGGAUGAUACUCAAAUUCACAAAGCAGUCCAUAUUCAA